GUCUGCAAAAUAUUAUGGGAAAAUGUACUUGUCAACAUUUAAAGGUGGAGAGAUUGCAUGUAAAACCUGGACUGCCAGCUUCUGCGGAAAAAUGAGGUAAGUCUGGCAACCCUGGCGCCUGCUCCAGCCCGGAAUCGUCUGCUCUCUUAUCUCCCUCCGUUCACUGAACUGCAGACCUCUGGUUGCCAGACGUCCCCUCGGAACAAAACGCAUACUCCACUCAGGCUAAGGGCUCUGCUGUUGGGUUGGGAAGAUCACGCCAGACCCUCUCCUUCCCUUCCUGGAAGACCCGAAUCCCGAGAGGAGGGUCGGAGGUGACGCGCAGGUCGACCCCCAAGGGAACCCACCCAUUAGCCUCCGCACAGCCCGCUCCUCUCACCUUCCGAGAAAGGACUCUCCUCCUCCCCUUGAGCGGAGCCGAUUGCGGUUGGAGAAACCCGCUCCGACGCCCCUAACUCACUGUGGCCAGAGCACCCACGGCCAGCAACGCAGAACACGGGCAACUUGCCUACACAGCGCGCGAAAGGCUGACCUUUCAAUUUGCGCGGGUUCCUUGCGGCCCCGCCCAGAGGAUGUGACGUCAACGCGUAUCCCGCAACCCGGUUCCGCCUCCUGCGGCUUCCAACUCAUAGGGUUGCGUCCAGAGCUCUCCGUCUCGCUGGGUAGACAGCGGCUCACUGCCCUACGACUGCAGCCGCUGCUGCCGGCCCGAACUCCGUGCGGCUUCUUGACGGCGCGAGUGGCACUGGCGCUGAUGGCCGAUGAGACAGAUCUCCCUCUGUUGCCCAGACUGGAGUACAGUGGAAUGAUCACAGCUUACUGCAGCCUCGACUUCCUGGGCUCAAGCGAUCCUCCCACCUUGGGCUCUGGAGUAGCUGGGACCACAGGCAUUACCAGAAAUGCACUAAUACAAUGAACUCAGGAGAUUCUCACUUGAGAAAAUCUCCAGCAAACGAUCACAGAAGUCAGAGACUGAGAAGUAAUUUGAAGGGUCCCCAGAGGAAUGCUGUCUGCUAGUCCACACGUCUCCUUUUGGAGGGCAUGCAUGAAAUGAAAGGACCAACACCUGAAGCAAACACCUCCAGCCAUCACUGCCGGAUGACUUCAGUGGCCGUAAUGAUGGACACGGUUAGCAUGGCCAGGACCCCUGGCCUCUAGGAAAUGCUGUGAUGGCCGUGUUACGGGAAAGGGGUCCUGAUCCAGACUCCCAAGAGAGGGUUCUUGGAUCUCACACAAGAAAGAAUUCAAGAGAACUGUUGUGAAGAUUAAAGCAGAUCACAGAGACUUAAAGCUCUUGAAAAAAAAAAAAGAAGAGAAUCAGCCUUUUGGUCAAUAGAACUGUGCUUGAGAAGGUUUCCAACCAUUGCUCCCAUUGGUUUUGCUGAUGAAAUGAAA